rnacentral:rRNA from 1 species
AACUACGUGCCAGCAGCCGCGGUAAUACGUAGGGUGCGAGCGUUAAUCGGAAUUACUGGGCGUAAAGCGUGCGCAGGCGGUUUUGUAAGACGGAUGUGAAAUCCCCGGGCUCAACCUGGGAACUGCAUUCGUGACUGCAAGGCUAGAGUAUGGCAGAGGGGGGUAGAAUUCCACGUGUAGCAGUGAAAUGCGUAGAGAUGUGGAGGAAUACCGAUGGCGAAGGCAGCCCCCUGGGCCAAUACUGACGCUCAUGCACGAAAGCGUGGGGAGCAAACAGGAUUAGAUACCCUGGUAGUCCACGCCCUAAACGAUGUCAACUAGUUGUUG